UCACUCGGUAGCCCAGUGAAGGAGCAGUCGGCUCGUAACCGACCGGACGCCGGUUCGAGCCCAGCCCGAGUUGAC
rnacentral:tRNA from 1 species